UCACUACUAUAUGCGUGCACAUAACUGGCUCAGUCAUUUAAUUGGCGGCUUUCAAGUCAGUCGUUCUUGAGCUUUCGCGUUGUGCACUUGUUUUGAACACAGUGAGCGCUUGUCAGCUAAAUUUAUAUGUUUUUGGUGUUAGGUGUAUGUGGAUACAAGUGUGGUUGUACAUAUCUGAAGUGAAGAAAAAAAGUUGACCAACUGCUUGAUUGUGUAAAAAGGGUGCGCCACGCACAUACAUACAUACAUACAUACAUACAUACGCGAAGGAGUCAGCGCAUUUUUUGCUUGCACUUGAAGAGGCCGACGAGAAUAUCCUCCUGUCUAUUUGCAGGAAUUUUUCAGUGGAACUCAAUUAGGAGCAGCGUGUGCAA